AGCACUGCAACUGAAAGACGAUAUGAUUUGGGCUACCUACGACUUUGAAGUGCUCUUUCCGUCCCUCCGCCUGGAGCCGGUGUGCCUCUACUUCUACUGUUUUCUGCUUGAGAAUCUCCUACAGGACCAGUUAGAUGCAAUGUUGAUUAGAGACUUAGUGCACCUGAUCUGUUAUAAUUCAUACUUUAUGUUUAGAUGGAAGAUCUAUAGACAAGUUAGAAGGGUGCCCAUUGGUAGCCCAAUUGCCGGGACCCUAGCGGAAAUUAUCCUUAGAGCAGUUGAAAAGGAGAAAAUAGCGAAAUAUGA
rnacentral:lncRNA from 1 species